AAAACUUUAAGUUAAAAAAACUAUUAAUCUUCAAAAUUAAAAAUAUAUUAUUUAUAAGUUUUA
rnacentral:tRNA from 1 species